rnacentral:lncRNA from 1 species
AAAUAUUUAGGAAAGAGAUUUCAAAGAGAUUACAAGGAAAAUCUCCCAUAAGCACAAAAGGGCCAUCCAUAGCGAAAUAGAGAGAAGAAGAGCAUCCUAGUGAAUCCCAAAGCUUCCUCUCCAUCCGUGUGCUGCCUCAAUCAUCCUCUACCUCGUGCCAAAUCAGAAGAGGGUCAAGUAAAGAAGAAGCUGAGUUCCUUCAUCUUCAAAAUUCGUUUGAGAGCCUCUCUUUACUCCAUUUGUUUAUAUUUGAUAUAUUUGCUUAGUUAAGAAGCUUGUACUUGCUUUAAAUUCUUAGUCUAAUAUCUUGUAACUUGAUUCAAUCAAGGGAUUGAAUCAAGAGGUUAAGGUUUGUUGGUGAGCCAAAGGAAAACCAACGGUGUUAAGGUUUGUUGGUGAGCCAAAGGGAAAACCAACGUUGUAAGGUUGUGGUUGGUGAGCCUUAGGAAAAACCAACUGGGUUGGAUUGUGAGCCCGUGAAAACAAUCGGUAGGUUCUAGUCGGUGAGCCUGUGAAAACCGACCGAGUUCAUUGUGAUCUCGCAAAACAACAAGUUGGGUUGUGAGCUUGUAAAACAACCGGCUGUAAUCUGAGGGAUUAUAGUGAAAUUCCCAAGAGGUCUUGGGGAGUGGAUGUAGG